UGGGUAUUUUAUGCCCAGUACCCGUAUGUAUAUUCAAAUGGUGGAUUUGGGAUGGAUGAUGUGACCCACUUUCAUUCUCCAACUCAGAUCAUCGUCGCUUCUCUGUAAACGUCUAUUCGUCGUUACAAUAUCUCCAAGGGUGGCGGAUCUUCACUUAACUCGCUCUUCCGUCUCCGUCUUGUGUUUGCUCAAGGGGGAGCUUUGACAAUUCCAUGUCUUUUUUAUAUUUGGAAUUUUUUUAUAUAAUGGCCUCCCGUGUUCAUAUUGAACUUCGAGGGAUUUGGUAACUUGCUCCUCCAAAGCUCAGCAUUCUCAAUUUUUAUGAUCUUUUGUGAGAAUCCAUAUAGUGUGUAGUUGAGGCUCGUGCUUCUUGUAUGAUGGAAAAUCUCCCCGUUGAAGUUAUUGGUAACAUACUGUCUCGGCUUGGAGGUGCCCAAGAUAUUGUGAUAGCCUCUGCAACAUGUAGAAAAUGGAGAGAAGCUUUCCACCGACACCUUCAUACACUUUCUUUUAAUUCUAAUGAUUGGCCAGGUUAUCAUGAUCUCACAACUAGUCGUCUAGAAAUAUUGAUAACUCAAACAAUAUUCCAAACUACAGGCUUGCAAGGCCUCUUGAUUUUGAUGGAUGAUGUUGAUGAGUUUUCAGCUUCAACGGUUAUCGCAUGGCUCAUGUACACCAGAGAAACGUUGCGACGAUUGAUCUAUAAUGUUCAAACUACUCCAAAUGUAAACAUUCUCGAAAUUUGUGGGAGGCAGAAGCUGGAGAUAUUGGAGCUGUCACACAAUUCAAUCACUGGGGUCGAACCUAAUUUUCAGCGAUUCCCCUGCUUGAAAUCCCUCUCUUUGAGUUAUGUCAGCAUUUCAGCAUUGGAUUUAAGUCUUUUACUCACUGCAUGCCCAAAGGUUGAGAUUGUGGAACUCAUCAACCCAGAGAUUGCAGUGUCUGAUGCGCAAGUGACAGUUGAACUGAGCAGUACCACUUUAAAGAGUAUUUAUGUUGAAGCAAUCAGUUUGGACAAGUUCAUAUUGGAGGCGGACAAUAUUGAGUGUUUGCAUUUGAAGGAUUGUACCCUUGAACUUUUUGAGCUUAUAGGAAAGGGGACCUUAAAACAUUUCAAGAUUGAUGCAGUUAGUGUCAUACAUCUUGAUGUCGGCGACGCCGUUGAUAAUCUUGAGGUUGUGGACAUUAGCAACUUCACUAUUAUCUGGCCAAAGUUCUACCAAAUGAUCUCAAAAUCCUCAAAAUUAAAGACUCUCCGGCUUUGGGAUGUUGUAUUUGAUGAUGAGGAUGAGAUUGUGGAUUUGGAAACAAUUGCUGUGUGUUUUCCACGAUUGAGCCAUCUCUCUUUGAGCGAUGACUUGAGAGAUGGUGUGCUUCACUAUGGUUUGCAAGGCUUUUCCAGCUUGGAGAAUGUGACCGUGUUGGAGCUUGGUUGGACUUUGAUUAAUGAUCUUUUCUCAGACUGGGUUGAGGGGCAUCUGAAACGUUGCCCCAAUCUUAAGAAGUUGGUCAUUCAUGGAGUUGUUUCUGAGGUGAAGACCCAUGAAGAAUGCCAAACGUUGGCCAAGUUUACCUCAUCUAUCGUUCAGCUUAUGAGGCGACACAUGCAAGUAGAUGUGCAAUUUGAGUUUGAGUAGAGAUUCUGGGAAUGCAUUGGUUGAAGUGCAAGUUUUAUUUCAAAGUAAGAAUUGUAUAAGCUUGCUGGCAGGAAAUAGAUACUGCUGAUGAAUUUCUGGAAAACAAAGGCGUAGACUCAGGUGGGGGAUCUGUGUUUUCCUUCUUAUUCGUUAUGCCGGGGAGAAUAUCCAAGCUGGUCAUGGCAGGAGGAAACAGAGACAAGUAACAGUGUCCCAGUCAUGUGAACUCUGGCUGACUAAAACAUUGUGCUGCCUCAAUGUCUGCAUGAUAUGAUUAAUUUGUUGGGUUUUACUUUAUCUACUACCACGGAGUCAGUGUCUCAUCACCUCGAACCUUUGGAGCACAUAACCUUUGUCUCACAGUUGUAAAUUGCCAGAAAGUUAUUAUUAUUCAUUGGAGCACAAAUUUUUUCUUUCUGCUAUUGAUGGGAUAAUUGCCUAGGUUGGAAGUUCUUGCAAUUGACCAAAUGUGUUUCAUGCUAUGUAUUCUAUAUUCCUCAUGAUGGGUUUGACAGCUAAUUGUAGCAU